rnacentral:rRNA from 1 species
CAGGUUUACCUGUGUGACUGCGUACCUUUUGUAUAAUGGGUCAGCGACUUAUAUUCUGUAGCAAGGUUAACCGAAUAGGGGAGCCGGAGGGAAACCGAGUCUUAAUUGGGCGUUAAGUUGCAGGGUAUAGACCCGAAACCCGGUGAUCUAGCCAUGGGCAGGUUGAAGGUUGGGUAACACUAACUGGAGGACCGAACCGACUAAUGUUGAAAAAUUAGCGGAUGACCUGUGGCUGGGGGUGAAAGGCCAAUCAAACCGGGAGAUAGCUGGUUCUCCCCGAAAGCUAUUUAGGUAGCGCCUCGUGAAUUCAUCUCCGGGGGUAGAGCACUGUUUCGGCUAGGGGGCCAUCCCGGCUUACCAACCCGAUGCAAACUGCGAAUACCGGAGAAUGUUAUCACGGGAGACACACGGCGGGUGCUAACGUCCGUCGUGAAGAGGGAAACAACCCAGACCGCCAGCUAAGGUCCCAAAGUCAUGGUUAAGUGGGAAACGAUGUGGGAAGGCCCAGACAGCCAGGAUGUUGGCUUAGAAGCAGCCAUCAUUUAAAGAAAGCGUAAUAGCUCACUGGUCGAGUCGGCCUGCGCGGAAGAUGUAACGGGGCUAAACCAUGCACCGAAGCUGCGGCAGCGAACGUAUCACUUAAAGCGAUUCAGCGGGUUACGAUUGACGGAGCGAAGCGACGUCAAAGCGUAUACAAAGUCGAGUCGGUUUAAGGAUACGUUCGUUGGGUAGGGGAGCGUUCUGUAAGCCUGUGAAGGUGGCCUGUGAGGGUUGCUGGAGGUAUCAGAAGUGCGAAUGCUGACAUAAGUAACGAUAAAGCGGGUGAAAAGCCCGCUCGCCGGAAGACCAAGGGUUCCUGUCCAACGUUAAUCGGGGCAGGGUGAGUCGACCCCUAAGGCGAGGCCGAAAGGCGUAGUCGAUGGGAAACGGGUUAAUAUUCCCGUACUUGGUGUUAC